rnacentral:lncRNA from 1 species
AUGAAGUCUGGUUUCCCUCUGUACCCCAUAAUUUAUCAGAAUGCGGUCUUAUCGUGUGACUUGGGAGUUGGUCGUGGACCAACAUAUACAAUUUCUUUCACGACCAACUCCCAAGUCAUAUGAUAAGACCGCAUUAUGAUAAAUAAUGGGGUACAGAGGGAAACCUACCAAAUUCUCUUUGAACCUGUAGUUCACUGUGAGUGAGAACCAAAGACUAUCAGACUUCAUGUCACUAGCUAGACUUCUGAGCUGCUCCGUGAAUAGACGUAGUUCAAUUGACGCAAAAUCAAUUUGCUGAUCAGAUUUAAAUGAUGUAGUGGGAAACACAUUCCUUUUUAUCACGGAGCUGAUGUUAAACAAUGAUUCUCCCACCUUCAAGUUUAACUUGAAGAUGGGUUUAAUCCUCACGUAACGUUGUGAGGUCCAACGAGUAGUUAAACUGAGUGCUUCUUGUAUGGUUACAUUAUCCGGGUUGACAAUUUCUGGGAGGCUGGGCGAUGUAGAUGAUAUAGAAUAAAGCGGCUUCAUCACUUCAGCUGCUUCUAAUUAACACCCAUCGUGAUGAACAUGAUAGUUACACAUACGAGAUCAACCCGUACAUCAGCAUUUGCAUUCUCCGGCGGUGGUGGUGCACCAUUGAGAUCAACCCUUACAUUUGCAUUCACCGGCGGUGGUGGUGCACCAUCGAGAUCAACCCAUACAUCUAUAGGGAACAUUACACUGCCUAUGUGACGGGAAUUGAAGUCGGUGCAGAGUUUUUGAAUCUUUCAAAUGGAGCAGUAGAGAAGAGAAAGGCAGUAAUAGAUAGUGGUACAUCAUUGGUAUAUCUCCCAAAAGUGAUCUACAAGCCACUGAUCCUAGCAGUGCAGUCCGGUAUGUGAUCACAUGUUCUUCAUGACAAUUUUACAUGCAUUGGAAGUAGGGGUAUAAGUGUUGAUGAUGAGUUUCCUGCAGUCACAUUCCAUUUUGAAAAUUCAGUUUCAUUGAAGGUUGAUCCUCAUGAUUAUAUGUUUAUAUAUGGUGAUUUAAUGUGUUUGGGGUGGCAAGAGAAUUACAUGGGCUCCACAAGUGAAAGGGACAUAAUUGUAUUGGGAGAAUUGAUACUCUUGGAUAAGCUCUUCUUGUAUGAUCUUGAAAAGUAGACAAUUGGAUGGACCGAAUACAACUGUGAGUCCUAUGUUUUUAACGUGUUAAUUCGAGCUGGUCAAAGGGGGUUUGGGUCAACUGGUAACUUUCGGUAUGGGUUUAGGUUGACCCAACACCCCUUUUCUCCAAAAUAUUCAAAAUGUUGUAUAAGUAGGUAGUGUGUCGGAUAUGAUCACGAUAAACUAUAAUAAUCAUAAUCUUUGAAUGAAUUGAUUUUUAAGGUUUUAUAAUAAGCAAAUGUAACUCAUUUGACUAGUUUACUUUUAAGCUAACUUUUUUGGAUUUACCUGUUUGACCCAUUAGAGAUAAAUCAUAAUCUAAAUUGUAAGUAAAAGGGCCAGAUUGCCAUUUGUCACCUCUACUGGAUUUCAACUUUGGUUUUCUUUACUAUUUGAG